AAUAACUUUAUUUUUCAGUUUUUCGAUACAAUAUUUUGACUCUUCGUCUUAUUUGAAAUUUUUUUACGAUUAAUGUUUUUAUUGUUACUGGAUGAUAAAAUAUAAAUAGUACUUACUGCGUGACUAAUUUUUUUAAGUUUUUUACAAAUUUUUUAAAUAAAAUGAAUGGUCAAACGUUGGACACGAAAAAAC
rnacentral:pre_miRNA from 1 species